rfam:Halomonas campaniensis strain LS21, complete genome.
CUAACACUUUCCGAAGAGCGGUUGAUGACUGCGUCACUCAGCCCACCGAAGGAGCAAGCGCUUCAAUAGAUGCGUGAAUCUCUCAGGUUCCAUGACGGAAGGGGUACG